rnacentral:rRNA from 1 species
UACGAAGGGGGCUAGCGUUGCUCGGAAUCACUGGGCGUAAAGGGCGCGUAGGCGGCCUGCUAAGUCGAACGUGAAAUCCCCGAGCUCAACUCGGGAACUGCGUCCGAUACUGACAGGCUUGAAUCCGGGAGAGGGAUGCGGAAUUCCAGGUGUAGCGGUGAAAUUCGUAGAUAUUCGGAAGAACACCAGUGGCGAAGGCGGCUCACUGGUCCGGUACUGACGCUGAGGUGCGAAAGCGUGGGGAGCAAACAGG